AUUGAUUUCUUACAAAUUAAAACCAAACCCACACCAGUACUCUUGCCUGGAAAAUCCCAUGGACGGAGGAGCCCAGUAGGCUGUAGUCCGUGCGGUCACGAAGAGUCGGACACUUACUGAGCGACUUCACUUUCACUUUUCACUUUCAUGCAUUGGAGAAGGAAAUGGCAACCCACUCCAGUGUUCUUGCCUGAAGAAUCCCAGGGAUGGUGGAGCCUGGUGGGCUGCCAUCUGUGGGGUCGCACAGAGUCGGACACGACUGAGGCGACUUAGCAGUUGCAGUAGCAGAGUGGGGCAGAAUAUUACAGAUGACGUCGAAUUUAAGUGUCUCAAGAAGUUGAUCAGUUCAAUUGUGAAUAUCAUAUGCAUCUUCAUCCUCUAGAUUUGGCAUCAAUUUCUUGGAAGCUGCUCAUGUAUCAUUUAUAAAAACAACCUAUUAUAUUCAACAUGUGAUGCUUUAUAAGCAAAGGGCCUCAGGACUCUUUCUACCACAAAAAAGAGGUAUGCCAAAACAGGCAAAGCAUUCUAGGAGAAAGGCACAUGGGA
rnacentral:lncRNA from 1 species